rnacentral:tRNA from 1 species
UGGGUUGUGGCUCAGUGAUAGAGCACUUGUCUGGUACUUAUGAAGCACUGUGUUUGAUCCUCAGCACCACAU